rnacentral:rRNA from 1 species
AGAGUUUGAUCAUGGCUCAGAACGAACGCUGGCGGCGUGCUUAACACAUGCAAGUCGAGUGCGCGUUUCGUAGCAAUACGGAAUGGCGCACGGCGCACGGGUGCGUAACACGUGGGUAAUCUGCCCUUCGGUGGGGAAUAACCCCGGGAAACCGGGGCUAAUUCCGCAUGACAUUCUUUGGACUUCGGUCCGGGGAUUCAAAGCAGCAAUGCGCCGAUGGAGGAGCCCGCGCCCGAUUAGCUAGUUGGUAGGGUAACGGCCUACCAAGGCUUUGAUCGGUAGCUGGUCUGAGAGGAUGGCCAGCCACACUGGAACUGAGACACGGUCCAGACUCCUACGGGAGGCAGCAGUGGGGAAUCUUGCGCAAUGGGCGAAAGCCUGACGCAGCGACGCCGCGUGGGGGAUGAAGCAUUUCGGUGUGUAAACCCCUUUCGAUCCGGACGAAUGCCCGCAAGGGAGUGACGGUACGGAUAUAAGAAGCCCCGGCUAACUACGUGCCAGCAGCCGCGGUAAGACGUAGGGGGCCAGCGUUGUUCGGAAUUACUGGGUGUAAAGGGUCAGUAGGCGGUGUGGCAAGUCGGGAGUGAAAUCUAUGGGCUUAACCCAUAGGCUGCUUCCGAAACUGCUGUGCUUGAGUGUGGGAGAGGCGCGUGGAAUUGCAGGUGUAGCGGUGAAAUGCGUAGAUAUCUGCAGGAACACCCGUGGCGAAAGCGGCGCGCUGGACCACAACUGACGCUGAAUGACGAAAGCUAGGGGAGCAAACAGGAUUAGAUACCCUGGUAGUCCUAGCCCUAAACGAUCAGGACUUGGGGUGCCACCCGUUCGGGUGGCGUCCCGGAGCUAACGCGUUAAGUCCUGCACCUGGGGAGUACGGUCGCAAGACUGAAACUCAAAGGAAUUGACGGGGCCCGCACAAGCGGUGGAACAUGUGGUUCAAUUCGACGCUACGCGAGGAACCUUACCUGGGCUCGAA